GACGAACGCUGGCGGCGUGCUUAACACAUGCAAGUCGAACGGAAAGGCCCUGCUUUUGUGGGGUGCUCGAGUGGCGAACGGGUGAGUAACACGUGAGUAACCUGCCCUUGACUUUGGGAUAACUUCAGGAAACUGGGGCUAAUACCGGAUAGGAGCUCCUGCUGCAUGGUGGGGGUUGGAAAGUUUCGGCGGUUGGGGAUGGACUCGCGGCUUAUCAGCUUGUUGGUGGGUUAGUGGCUUACCAAGGCUUUGACCGGUAGCCGGCCUGAGAGGGUGACCGGCCACAUUGGGACUGAGAUACGGCCCAGACUCCUACGGGAGGCAGCAGUGGGGAAUAUUGCACAAUGGGCGGAAGCCUGAUGCAGCAACGCCGCGUGCGGGAUGACGGCCUUCGGGUUGUAAACCGCUUUCGCCUGUGACGAAGCGUGAGUGACGGUAAUGGGUAAAGAAGCACCGGCUAACUACGUG
rnacentral:rRNA from 1 species